UAGACCAUCUUUCUGAUUGAAAACAUUGCUUGCUCAGGCUCUAAUCGGGGAUCCAAGAAGAAUCAUACAGGAUGACCUUUUGAAAUCUGAUGGCUAUCUUCAGAGCUCAUCCUGUAGCAGAAGAGGAUUUGCUUCCUCCUCUUCCAGCCAUGAUACUGCCAUCUUGUAUAGACUUGCGCAAGAAUAUGGUGACCUAAUAAAUCUCCAUGACUGGUAUCAAUCUUUCAAAGCAAAAGUAAUGAUCCCCAGCCCUAAAGCCAAGCGUAAAGUCCAGCAUUCACCUGCCUCUAAGAAGGGGAAAUCUAAAUCACUAGAGAAUGAGGUUUCAAUCCAAGCAAGGUUUUGCAGAGCAGUCACAGAGCUUCAAAUCACCGGUCUCAUUCGAUUACCAAGCAAGAGAAGACCAGAUUUUUUGCAGAGAAUUGUUUUUCAACUCUAGCCUGUUGAAUCAUUUACAUUAUAUAUGAAAUUUAAAAGCCAACUUUAUGAUGAAUGAAAUUCUUACUUUUCAGUUCUCAAGUUGGUGAUUGCAAUCGAGCAUUAGCCCGGCGGUUUGUUUUUCGGUCGUUUACAUACAUACAACACAAUUGUUACGUAUUUAUAUACAUGACACCCAAGCUAUAAUAUUUACAUGCAAACACUGAAAUCUUUAAUAUCAUAUCAAAAG